AUUGAACGCUGGCGGCAUGCUUUACACAUGCAAGUCGAACGGUAACAGGUUAAGCUGACGAGUGGCGAACGGGUGAGUAAUGCAUCGGAACGUGCCCGAUCGUGGGGGAUAACGCAGCGAAAGCUGCGCUAAUACCGCAUACGAUCUGAGGAUGAAAGCGGGGGACCGUAAGGCCUCGCGCGAUCGGAGCGGCCGAUGUCAGAUUAGGUAGUUGGUGGGAUAAAAGCUUACCAAGCCGACGAUCUGUAGCUGGUCUGAGAGGACGACCAGCCACACUGGGACUGAGACACGGCCCAGACUCCUACGGGAGGCAGCAGUGGGGAAUUUUGGACAAUGGGCGAAAGCCUGAUCCAGCCAUGCCGCGUGCAGGAUGAAGGCCUUCGGGUUGUAAACUGCUUUUGUACGGAACGAAAAGACUCUUUCUAAUAAAGAGGGUCCAUGACGGUACCGUAAGAAUAAGCACCGGCUAACUACGUGCCAGCAGCCGCCGCAG
rnacentral:rRNA from 1 species